GAUGAACGCUGGCGGCGUGCCUAACACAUGCAAGUCGAACGGUCAUGAAUAAUGACAGUGGCGCACGGGUGAGUAACACGUGGCUAAUCUGCCCUCGAGAGUGGGAUAACUUCCCGAAAGGGAUGCUAAUACCGCAUAAGCUCACGCGAAGUAGAUACGAGUGAGAAAAGGAGCAAUCCGCUUGAGGAGGAGGUCGCGGCCCAUCAGGUAGUUGGUGAGGUAAAGGCUCACCAAGCCGACGACGGGUAGGGGGCCUGAGAGGGUGGUCCCCCACACUGGGACUGAGACACGGCCCAGACUCCUACGGGAGGCAGCAGUGAGGGAUAUUGCACAAUGGGCGAAAGCCUGAUGCAGCGACGCCGCGUGGGUGAAGAAGGCCUUCGGGUCGUAAAGCCCUUUUCCCACUGAAGAGGAAGGACGGUAAGUGGGGAAUAAGUCUCGGCUAACUACGUG
rnacentral:rRNA from 1 species